GAUGAAGAACGUAGCGAAAUGCGAUAAGUAAUGCGAAUUGCAGAAUUCCGUGAGUCAUCGAAUCUUUGAACGCACAUUGCGCCCCUUGGUAUUCCAUGGGGCAUGCCUGUUCGAGCGUCAUUUGUACCUUCAAGCUCUGCUUGGUGUUGGGUGUUUGUCUCGCCUCUGCGUGUAGACUCGCCUUAAAACAAUUGGCAGCCGGCGUAUUGAUUUCGGAGCGCAGUACAUCUCGCGCUUUGCACUCAUAACGACGACGUCCAAAAGUACAUUUUUACACUCUUGACCUCGGAUCAGGUAGGGAUACCCGCUGAACUUAAGCAUAUCAAUAAGCGGAGGA
rnacentral:misc_RNA from 1 species